UUUUUUCCUUCUCUCCGGAUAGGAACGACCACUACAGUAUCAGUCUUGAUUUUUUUUUCUACCUCGGCACAAGCAAGGUGCUGUGCUCGUCCACGCCGGAAGAUGCGUGACCGGAAAGAGGCAGAGCGACUGGCGUGUGGACGAGCAGCAAGGUGGCCUCCUGCACAGAAGGGCAAGCUGGGGGGAGGCGUGGAGCACAAAGCAAGCCGCUUGGCUGCAAAGUGUUGCACGCUGCUGUCCAGCUGAAGAUGGUUGACUUCACGUUGGCUUGCUGCAGCUGGUACAGUUGCUGCUAGCUAGCUGCUGUAGCUGCUGCCGCAGUCAGAGCUGCAGCAAGCACUACCGAACGGUGAACCUGAAGCCUUCAGUGGACAGGGAAUCACGACUAUGGCAUGUCUAUAAAUUUUGGAUCUCACUAAGCCUGAUUUGAUUUGGUUUGGUUCCUUAUUUCCACAUCGACAAAUCCCUUUUUUCCCUUGCUGCCUCCUGGAUGCAUAGCUUACGGUGAGUUCUUGUCAUCCUUAUCCUUCUGUAAAUCCCUGUUCCUACUUUCGAUGCCUGCAAUUUUAUUGGAUAUGUGGUAUGCUGCAUUAUAUGUUGUUCGAUUUGCUUAUUUAUUGUUUAGUGAUUGGGUCUGAUGCUACAUGCUUCCUACGAAGUUGUAGGAUAUCUCCAUUUCUCUUUAUUGUCUUUUAGGCCCAAGUUAGCAAUUCAUUAAGUAAUGAUAAUUAUAUGUGGAUCCAAAAAGAUUAAUGGUCUUGUAAUGCUCUGAUAUGUAGGUUAUUUUUCCUUCAGCCUAAUCCUUACAUGUAGCAUUGCUUUUGAGCAAGAUUGCAGCUGACCAUUAUAUAUAUGAUUACCUUUGCUACCUCUGACCUGAUUAACAUAGAUACAGUUUCUAAUUGUAAUCCCAUUAUUAUCUGUUUCCCUGUGGGUUCACAUCGUAUUAGAAAACAAAAACUACUUGCCAUCAAUACUGUGCAUUGUGGCAUGUGUAUUAGACUAAUUUCGGUUCUAUAAUACCCCAUAAUCAAUUUUGGAUCUGCAGUUAAGCUUGUCUACAGUAAGAUUGCAGCUAGCACUAGCACCAGUGUGCCUUUAAAAUUUCUAAUUUCUAGCUGAUUGUUGUAGCAUCUUUGUUGAGCAGCAGCAUUUAGUUAGAGAUGUUGUGGAGAGACCCAAGAGACAUUGAUCUUUGGCUGCUUUAUGUACACAUGAAGGAAUGGUCAUGCUCUUAAAUUUAGCAGUAGGAAGCUCACUUUCUUUUCCAUUUUACUAGAUGUUUAUCAGAUCUGAAUCAUAUUCACUCUGUCCCAUGUAUUCCUGGUUUACACUUAUUGGUUUUGGGCAGCAUGCGACAGAGUGAAGAUUAUCCAAAAAAAAAUGAAAGAAAGAAGAAGAGGAUUAUUUUUUGAUAGUCAUAGCUCAUGCAAUCUGGCUGGAUCAUGAACAAAUUGCAAAACAUUUGUUAAGAUUAGCCAAAUCACUCUGCUCGUUGAUAAUAACAUAAAAGGAAAAGUGCUACCUAUGGGGUUUAGAUAAGUUUAACUGGACCAUGUAUUCCAUUGUGCUCAGUUAAUUAAGUUGAAUGUCAAUCAUUAUAGAUUUUGUCCACCUUCCUUGAUUUUUCUGCUUAGAAAAGAAACCAAAGCAUUGCUCGUAGUUUAUUUGUCUGUGCAGGUACCAUGCUUUAACAUCAAGGUAAAUAGUGUCGGUCUCAUAUCCUCCAUUCUAUUAUGCCACCUUUAACAUAUGCAUUUCACUGCAUGUUUGGUUUUCAAGUAUGUUUCCAUCGACUGACUCAUGUUUUAUUUGGUCCUGUUUCAUGUAUGUUGAUAUCUUUGGUUUACGUUAAGUGUGUGGUAGCUAUUCUGAACCAUUCUCUUGGUUCCCUUGCCAUAAAGAUAAUUCCUCCUCCUGUUUUUCUUCUGUAACUUAUAGAUUGAUUCAUGCUAUAUUAAUCAAGUUCACAACUUUCGUUUCUUGCAAAGAGAAGCAUCAUCAAGUUAAAAUGCACUUAUGAACACAGGAUCACAACCUGCAUUUAGUAAAAUUCAGAACCGUGUCAGCAUUAGUGCAUUGUAACAUAUGCCUUCUUUUCUCAGUUGUACGGUUUCUUUUCCUUGGAGUUAGAUAUAUAGAUAGAUGGCAUGAAUAUAGCACACAGGUAGGUUUGGUUGCAGAUGCAGUUUAGUAAUACUCGCUGACUUGCCACAGCAACUGUGCAGGUCUUCAUCAUACUGAACUUAUCAUUAGUGCUGAACUUUUAUCUAACACUAUUUGAAAUGCGUAUUGUUGGCAUUAACCUAUUUGUAUAGUUAUUACAUGCAUUAUUCUUUAGCAGGUCAGGUUGGGGCUGCAAAUCAGGCCAAACAGGCCAAUAAGGAUGUAAGCACCAUAUGCAAGAAAAGGAGUUAUGUUUCCUAAAAAAAUAGGACAUUUGUUGUAACUGAUUUUAUCAUGAUUAGGCCCCACCAUUUCUAUUGUGGUGAGAUGAAAAAAAAGCAUGAUUGAAUUUAGGUAAAAUUAUUAGGUGUUCAUUGUCAGGCCCAAGAAUGCAAAUACGGUUUCGGUUCUGUCUUUCUUUCAUGUAUGCUACUGCUCAACACCAGCUUUGGCGCUUCUGCAUAUGCCCCACUGUUAUCAAAAAAAUUAUAUUCGUGUUAUUAUUUCUCUUAAAUGUUUCAUACAACCGCAAGAACUAUAAUGUUUGGUGGUCAGGAGAUCUAACAGAAAUUUAGAACUAAACAUAUAUAGGUUAUUGCUAAAAAAGGUAGAUGCCUCGUACAAUCACAUAGCUGAAUGAACCAUACAUGGUAAAUUUCAUAUAGUUCCUACGAUAUAAUGUUAGUUUGAAAAUUAGGCUACUUUUUACUUCAAUUACCACCCUUUGACUUUUCAUAUGUUUCUUGAUCCUGAAAUGCAGGUCAGAGCAACGAGCAAACAAAAGUGUAGAAGGCUCUAGCGCAACCAAAUGGAAGGUUCUGCCAUUAUUAUCUCAGCAUUGUCUUAACGUAUAAAUGCAACUGAGCAUGUAGUUCAUGUUCAUAAAACAAUUGGAAUAUUUCUAACACCAGUGUUAAGAACAUGCAUUUUAUGAAUCUUCCGACCUAAAUUAGUAGUUAGUUUUUUUUUACUAUGUAUAGAUUCUGUAGAACUGCACCUUUACUCCAUCAGUCAUUGUGUGUACAUAUAUCUAGCAUAUCUCAAUUUAGACCUCAUGCAAACAUCCUUUACAUGGUCUAUUUUCUGCACUGAGUUGCAUUCUAUAGCCUCAUUAUUUGCGGAUGCUGAUCGUGAGCCCAAGGACUGCAGACGAACCAGGUACUUAUCAAAUAAAUAGUUCCAUUUUCCACACGCACGCAUUAAAAGUCACUUUUGACGGAAACAUUAUCAAGUUACUUGCAGUAAUCUUUCAUAAAUUUAAUCUGCUAUAUCUACAUUAUCUUCCCCGCAUCAACUAAUAAUAGCCUACAUAUAGUAAUUCCACUUCCAUUAAAUCAAUUUAUUAUUUUGACACAUAUCAGGUGGCAUCCUAUAAUACCGAUUGCGGAACACUGUGCGCAUGAGCCCGCGCCAAUCACUACUAGUAACCCUUAGAGCAAGUACAUUGCUACACGUCAGCGGUCUCAUAGGUCGUCUCAUGCAGUGCCAUGUAGAAUUUUUGAUGAUGUGGAGGAGAGAGAGCGAGGAGAGAGAAAGAGGUCGAUG